UACGAAGGGGGCUAGCGUUGUUCGGAAUCACUGGGCGUAAAGCGCACGUAGGCGGAUUGUUAAGUCGGGGGUGAAAUCCUGAGGCUCAACCUCAGAACUGCCUUCGAUACUGGCAAUCUCGAGUCCGGAAGAGGUUGGUGGAACAGCUAGUGUAGAGGUGAAAUUCGUAGAUAUUAGCUAGAACACCAGUGGCGAAGGCGGCCAACUGGUCCGGUACUGACGCUGAGGUGCGAAAGCCGUGGGGAGCAAAGCAGGGAUUAAGAAACCCGG
rnacentral:rRNA from 1 species